rnacentral:rRNA from 1 species
GAUGAACGCUGGCGGCGUGCCUAAUACAUGCAAGUCGAGCGAACAGAUGAGGAGCUUGCUCCUCUGACGUUAGCGGCGGACGGGUGAGUAACACGUGGAUAACCUACCUAUAAGACUGGGAUAACUUCGGGAAACCGGAGCUAAUACCGGAUAAUAUAUUGAACCGCAUGGUUCAAUAGUGAAAGACGGUUUUGCUGUCACUUAUAGAUGGAUCCGCGCCGCAUUAGCUAGUUGGUAAGGUAACGGCUUACCAAGGCAACGAUGCGUAGCCGACCUGAGAGGGUGAUCGGCCACACUGGAACUGAGACCCGGUCCAGACCCCGACGGGAGGCAGCAGUAGGGAAUCUUCCGCAAUGGGCGAAAGCCUGACGGAGCAACGCCGCGUGAGUGAUGAAGGUCUUCGGAUCGUAAAACUCUGUUAUUAGGGAAGAACAAAUGUGUAAGUAACUAUGCACGUCUUGACGGUACCUAAUCAGAAAGCCACGGCUAACUACGU